rnacentral:misc_RNA from 1 species
AGGAAGUGGCAACCGUCAAAUGAAUAAAUCACAUGGUAUGAAUCCCACUUAUCUAAUAGGGUUCAUCUUUUGAAGAAGAUGGGUUUGCUAAUUACCAACAUCCAUCAAUUGAAAAUACAUUCCGCAUAAAACAUGCCCCACAACUUACACAAUACAAAUGCAUUAGAUUGAGUACAUGGUUUAUGCGGCUUAGGUCUACUCCAGAUAGAGCAUUUCCCUAGCACCCAAUUAGUUCUUCUCUAAAAACAAGAACCUUUACAUGUAAAAGACACAUAUAUCAUUAGUACUCAAAACAACAAAGGACCAACAAUGUACGAAUGAUUGUGUCAAGGCAUACAGGUGUGUAUCACUUCACCUUCUCAAAUGCAUCUUCUUCAGGAUCACGAAGGGUACCUAGCAUCCAGUCCAUCCAUAUAGUAUAAUGGCCAUAAUUAUGCCGGUAUGUAGUAUGAUGAAUAGUGUGAUAGCCGGCACCCAUAAUA